AUUGAACGCUGGCGGUAUGCUUAACACAUGCAAGUCGAACGGCAGCACAGUAUGUAGCAAUACAUAUGGGUGGCGAGUGGCGGACGGGUGAGUAACGCGUAGGAAUCUACCCUAAAGCGGGGGACAACCCGAGGAAACUCGGGCUAAUACCGCAUAAUCUCGAAAGAGUAAAGCUGGGGCAACCUGGCACUUUAGGAGGAGCAUGCGUCCGAUUAGCUAGUUGGGGAGGUAAAGGCUCACCAAGGCGAUGAUCGGUAGCUGGUCUGAGAGGGUGAUCAGCCACACUGGGACUGAGACACGGCCCAGACUCCUACGGGAGGCAGCAGUGGGGAAUAUUGGACAAUGGGGGCAACCCUGAUCCAGCAAUACCGCGUGUGUGAAGAAGGCCUUAGGGUUGUAAAGCACUUUAGUUGGGGAAGAAGGAUAGUUGUUUAAGAGAUGAUUAUUUUGACGGUACCCAAAGAAUAAGCACCGGCUAACUCUGUGCCAGCAGCCGCCGUAA
rnacentral:rRNA from 1 species